ACGCUGGCGGUGUGCUUCACACAUGCAAGUCGAACGAGGUAGCAAUACCUAGUGGCGGACGGGUGAGUAACGCGUGGGAAUCUGCCCUGGGGUGGGGGAUAACUAGUCGAAAGAUUAGCUAAUACCGCAUAUGCCGUGAGGUAAAAGGAGUAAUCCGCCCGAGGAUGAGCCUGCGUCCGAUUAGCUAGUUGGUAGGGUAAAAGCCUACCAAGGCUACGAUCGGUAGCUGGUCUGAGAGGAUGAUCAGCCACAAUGGGACUGAGACACGGCCCAUACUCCUACGGGAGGCAGCAGGUGGGGUAAUUUUACGCAAUGGGGGAAACCCUGACGUAGCGACACCGCGUGAGCGAAGAAGCCCUUUGGGGUGUAAAGCUCUGUCAGCAGGAACGAAUAAAUGACGGUACCUGCAGAGGAAGCAUCGGCUAACUACGUG
rnacentral:rRNA from 1 species